UACGUAGGGUGCGAGCGUUGUCCGGAAUUAUUGGGCGUAAAGAGCUCGUAGGCGGUGUGUCGCGUCGGCCGUGAAAACCUGCAGCUUAACUGUGGGCUUGCGGUCGAUACGGGCAUCACUGGAGUUCGGCAGGGGAGACUGGAAUUCCUGGUGUAGCGGUGAAAUGCGCAGAUAUCAGGAGGAACACCGGUGGCGAAGGCGGGUCUCUGGGCCGAUACUGACGC
rnacentral:rRNA from 1 species